UCUUGUGAAAAAUUCAUGAAGCUUUUCUGCAGUCUGCUUUUGAGUUUUGGUGGCGGAAUGCCUUCAGUGGGUAGAGCCUGAACACGGCAGCUUCUCUGGGCCCAGCCUCAGAAAUCAGGAGACCUGGCGUUUGGAGUCAGAGGAGACAGACAUGGUGGCGAUGUUGUGUCCCUUAUUGCUUUAAAUGUGACGCCCACUAUGACAAUGAUGGAAAGGAUGAGAAUCACUGCGGGCGGUGAGACAAGGUCUCCCCUUUGCACGCCCUGCUGGACUGAGCUUGGGAAAGCCAGGCGUGACCUGCUGGGCUGCCAGUUCUCUGUGCGCUGGUGGACAUGCCGAGACCAGUGAUACUGUCUGUGAUUCUGAUGGCCAGACUGGCCCUCCCCUUCUUUGCACUAAUUUGAGAACUGCGAGGAGCCAUUCAUUGCUUCUCAGGGUAGAGCGGCGCACAAGGAUGCUUGCUAUUGUAAACAAGAAAUUCUCAGACUGGCAAAGCUCUGCAGGUUGCUGUACAACCAGCGGCUAUCGAAGCGGGAGCUUUGAGGGCGAGCAGUCUCGGGGCUGCCAUGCGGGGAUCCAGCUGAACAGCCACCUCAUCCUCUGUGACUGUGACAGGCGAGUCCCUUCAGGAAAAUAGGCAUGAGGAGGCUCACAUAACCUUGAGGGCCUACGAUCCCAGCUGCCGCAGCUCAGCUCUGCCGACCUGACCAGGAUCUGAUAGCUUUUCACUGGAGCCUAAUAACCACCAGGGCCACUGACGAUCUUUCUAAAAAUGUAGGAAAAAAGCACCAAGAAGUUUGGAUAGGAAGCCCAGAGGGAGUCCCAGCGCCCACCGCCCCCUCUUCUGAGGCUCAUUUCCCUGUCUGUCCCUCUGUGCCCUGGACUGCCUCUGUCCCCUGCACCUGGCCUUGUACAGUCUCUUCUCUUCAUAAGGACUUCGUUGUUUUUUUGACUUUAUAAACUUAAAAUCAGUGCAUGUCUGUGGCAUGUGGUAGCUAUGUAGCUAUGUUUUGGGGAGUUGGUACGUGUGUGAGGCACAUCUUUACUAGUUCCCGUCCGUUAACCUCCCUCCCUGUGAGCUCUGAGUCCUUUCCCUGUGUUAUCAACUGAAUUGACAGUUUGCAAGCGCGGUCUGCAGGUCCUGCCUGGGAAAAUGGAGCACAGGGAAUAUAAUAGAGAUUUUAUAAAGCGGGCGGGGAGGGAGAGGCUGGAACGCGCAGAAUGAAGGAGUCGUAAAGUUUACAGAAAGGAGGCCAAGGGGCUGGAGGGCAGGGCACCUCGUUUUUUCACCAGGGAGGGCCCGAUUCCCAGGACUGUGGUGAUCUUCCAGGACCUGCCCUCGCCUCUGGGUGGGGAUUGAG